AUUGUUUUCUAAAGUCGUUGCAUGAUCUCAUUAUUCUUUACUUGGUUGCUACUUAGAAGGCGUUUCAUCAUUUAGUUCCAAAUGCUAGAACUCAUGCCUAUUUCAUUCAAAGCAUGUUAUUGAUUUGCACAACACAUAUUCAAGAUGAAGUUGUUUAGUGAUCCAAGAGCCAAAAAGCCUAUCCCAUUCAUUAUGUGUUUAAGUUUAAACGCCGUUGAGCCUUGUUUAAGCCUACGUUCUUUUGUUAACCCACACUAUCCUCACCUAGCCUAGAUUAGGACCAUCCAUACCCUUGUUCUUGAAGCAUAGUAAAGCAUGACUCAAAUUGAAUUCCUUUUGAUUAAUGUAUUGCAGAAAACAAGUGUGGGGGAAGUGAUUCUUGUGUGUGUGUGUGCCAAAGUCCUUAAUAAGGCACGGGUCGAAAAAAAAAAAAAAAAAGUUGUGAAAAAUGUAUGAAAAAGAGUUCUAAAGUGUUGUUUGUUGAAGAAAGGGUCCAAAACAUUGAAUUCGGCCCUAAGUAUUGCUCAAAUCUUCCCUUUGUGUUAAAAGUUGAUU
rnacentral:lncRNA from 1 species